ACCAGUGUGGCAUAGUGGUUUGAGCACUGGACUAUGACUCUGGAUAUCAGGGUUCAAAUCCCCCCUUGGCC
rnacentral:tRNA from 1 species